rnacentral:RNase_P_RNA from 1 species
AGGGUGGGACGGGCGACCGCAGGUGGCGCUGUUUCAAAAAGCGGCGCUGCCUGAGGAAAGUCCGGCCUCCGUAGGGCAGGGCGCUCGCCAAGACCGGUGACGGAAGUUCACCAGUCAAGGUGAGGAAGUUGCUCUGGCGAGAUGCUGGGGCAACUUCGGAAAGUGCCACAGAAACCAUACCGCCGUCGGGUGAAGCGGCACUGCAGCUUCACUGCCAGCCGCUGCGGUGUUUGUGUUUCCCGGCGGUAAGGGUGAAAUGGUGGGGUAAGAGCCCACCAGCACGACCGCGAGGUCGUGGCUGGGCAAACCCCGCCCGGAGCAAGACCAAAUAGGGGGCGCUAUCAGGUUGCCCGCCGA